CAGUCGAACGAUGAACCCGCUUCGGUGGGGGAUUAGUGGCGAACGGGUGAGUAACACGUGGGCAAUCUGCCCUGCACUCUGGGACAAGCCCUGGAAACGGGGUCUAAUACCGGAUACGACCAUCUUGGGCAUCCUUGAUGGUGGAAAGCUCCGGCGGUGCAGGAUGAGCCCGCGGCCUAUCAGCUUGUUGGUGAGGUAAUGGCUCACCAAGGCGACGACGGGUAGCCGGCCUGAGAGGGCGACCGGCCACACUGGGACUGAGACACGGCCCAGACUCCUACGGGAGGCAGCAGUGGGGAAUAUUGCACAAUGGGCGAAAGCCUGAUGCAGCGACGCCGCGUGAGGGAUGACGGCCUUCGGGUUGUAAACCUCUUUCAGCAGGGAAGAAGCGAAAGUGACGGUACCUGCAGAAGAAGCGCCGGCUAACUACGUGCCAGCAGCCGCGGUAAUACGUAGGGCGCAAGCGUUGUCCGGAAUUAUUGGGCGUAAAGAGCUCGUAGGCGGCUUGUCGCGUCGGUUGUGAAAGCCCGGGGCUUAACCCCGGGUCUGCAGUCGAUACGGGCAGGCUAGAGUUCGGUAGGGGAGAUCGGAAUUCCUGGUGUAGCGGUGAAAUGCGCAGAUAUCAGGAGGAACACCGGUGGCGAAGGCGGAUCUCUGGGCCGAUACUGACGCUGAGGAGCGAAAGCGUGGGGAGCGAACAGGAUUAGAUACCCUGGUAGUCCACGCCGUAAACGGUGGGCACUAGGUGUGGGCAACAUUCCACGUUGUCCGUGCCGCAGCUAACGCAUUAAGUGCCCCGCCUGGGGAGUACGGCCGCAAGGCUAAAACUCAAAGGAAUUGACGGGGGCUCCGCACAAGCGGCGGAGCAUGUGGCUUAAUUCGACGCAACGCGAAGAACCUUACCAAGGGCUUGACAUACACCGGAAACGUCCAGAGAUGGGCGCCCCCUUGUGGUCGGUGUACAAGGUGGUGCAUGGCUGUCGUCAGCUCGUGUCGUGAGAAUUGUUGGGUUAGUCCCGCAACGAGCGCAUCCUUUGUCCCGUUGUGCAGCAGGCCCUUGUGGGUGCUGGGGACUCACGGGAGACCGCUGGGUUCACUUCGUAGGAAAGUGGGGACGACGUCAAGGUCAUCAUGCCCUUAUGUGCUUGGGGCUUCAACCGUGCUACAAUGGCCGG
rnacentral:rRNA from 1 species